ACUGGCAGAGUAGAGCCAGCCUGGGUGCUGGAGUCAGACUGCAGACUUGGUUCCCUGCUCGUCCCAGUUCUGCUGCCUGCGGACAAGUUAUUUCAGCUCUCUUAGCUCCACAUGAUUUUUUUCAUCUGUCAGGUACUCUGAUGGCUACUGCAGCUCCUCCCUCCUCCGGGCCGUGGCCCACCUGCGGUCCCAGCUCUGGGCCCACCUCCCUCGAGCCCCCCUAGCUCCCAGAUGGAGCCCCUCUGCCUGGUGCUGGGUUGGGGGAGCCCUGCUAGGCCCCAUGGUACUGAGUAAGCGUCCCCACCUCUGCCUUGUGGCCCUGUGUGAGGCAGAAGAGGCCCCUCCUGCCAGCUCCACACCCCAUGUCGUGGGGUCUCGCUUUAACUGGAAGCUCUUCUGGCAGUUUCUGCACCCCCACCUGCUGGUCCUGGGGGUAGCCGUCGUGCUGGCCUUGGGUGCGGCACUCGUGAAUGUACAGAUCCCCCUGCUCCUGGGCCAGCUGGUAGAGGUCGUGGCCAAGUACACGAGGGACCACGUGGGGAGUUUCAUGACUGAGUCCCAGAAUCUCAGCACCCACCUGCUUAUCCUCUAUGGUGUCCAGGUACAGCCGGGAGUGGGGCUGGGGGCCGCCGAGGAGCCACCCGAGGCAUCCCUGAGUGCACUGGGCUCUUGCGCAGGGACUGCUGACCUUCGGGUACCUGGUGCUGCUGUCCCAUGUUGGCGAGCGCAUGGCUGUGGACAUGCGGAGGGCCCUCUUCAGCUCCCUGCUC
rnacentral:sRNA from 1 species